AUACGGUAUUGUGGCUGCAAGCUAUGAGCCGAAGUCAGCAGUAACGUUCUGCACAGCAGAAGUUGGCAGAAGCAUGGAUGAGGUUGUCGAACAAGUGGCGUUCGCCGACGCGAAGUGUGACGAUUCUCAAACUCCUGGAAGUCUCGAUGCAAUGUCAGAAACUGACUGCAACAGUACCACGAAAGAGAGUGCCAUUGACGAGGCAAAAGAUGGUGCUGCACAGUUUGCUAGAGGUGAUGAGAAGAAGGACCAGAAUAGUGAGUUGGGCACGGAGCUGCCUCGUGUGACAUGUGCUGCAACUAGUGAUGCGUCUCCUGGAGGAGAUUUGCCAGCAUGCAAUAUUGACAAAACCUCAGAGGUUGUAACAAUGGAGGCCUCUCUCUCUGCUCAGGCUGGCACCGAAGCCUCAGGUAAAGCAUUGGCUGAGAGUUCACACGAAGCCACAGGUCCCAAUUCCUGUAAAAACGUGCAAGAGGAGUCAUCUCUGCACUCGCAGGAAGGAGCACCGAGAAAUUGUACUGAAACAGAUGCGGAUUCCUGUGCUGAACAGAAGCCAUCGUCAUCAGUUAAUGAGGGGUCGAAUGGUUCGUCAUCGGAAUGUGUAGCAAAGUCUGCUGAAAUGCAAGAUCCUACCUUGAGGACAUCGAGUGACACUUGUCGCCCUGAGCGGGAGACAAGUGUUCAGUUGAGCAAGGAAAGCGAUCCUGAUGUUGAGCUUGCCACUGAACCUGCAAAAAAUGAGGAAGUACGUACUCAAGUGUCCAUAACAGAUUCUGAAAUUUCUGGAGAUGCUUCUUCGAAGGGCACAUCUGAAUCGAGUUCUGCUAUAGCAGCUCAAUUGAAGGAAACCAUUUUGACAGUGAAUCAAAGGAGUGAAGUUGCAAGUGUGGAUGUUGCUAAACCAAGUGGCGGUAGUCAGCCGAAAGAUGAGCCAGUUACAUGCUCUUCACCAGCAGUGCCUCCUAAUAGUUCCAGUGUAGAGGUAGCCCCUUCAAAGCCAUCUACAUCAACAAGCUGUUCAGAUGUUGAUUCAUCUGAACGAGAUCAAACAUUGGAUUCCACUGUUAACAGAAAACUGCCUUCUGAAGAAGUUGAGAGUAGUGAUUGUGGACUUACCUCUGAAGAUGGAGUCGGUGUGGAGGAUCGAGAAGGCUCAAGUACCGUGUCUACGGCUGGUGAGGCGGCUACUGGCACAGACUUGGAAGGUGGCCAUGAGGCCACUGCUGACUCGCUAGACAGUCCAGGCCACAUCGAAGUUGGCUCCGAUCAAGAGGACUUCGAUGAGGAACUUGAAUUGCACCCACGAUUACACAGGGAUGACCUAGAUGAUAGUGGCAUUAACGAUGGCACACGUGGCCUGGAAGAUGAACUGGAGGAUGGUCUUGACGAGGAAGAAGACGACGAGGAUUGUCUCAAAGGAGAGAGGCAGCAGGGUGAUGGAGAGGAGAGCGUUGAUCCCUCUGAUCUCCAAGAUAAAGUUCUGGACUUUGAUGAAGACAAGCGCAACCCUCAGUACAUCCCCAAGAAAGGUGCAUUUUACCAACAUGAUGACCGCAUGGUAGGAGAUGAAGAUUCAUCUGAAGUACCAGAAGAAAAAAAUGAAGAUGACAAGGGGGCUCGCCGACAGAAGAAGCUUUGGCAUGAUGAAGGUGUUUGGGGCCAUGACAUGUACCGUGAGGAGGAGCAGGGUCCCAAAACAAGUGCGGAGCUUGUGAGCAUAUAUGGCUACGAUAUUCGUACAGAACUGAUGCCUCCUAGAGCUCGGAGACGGCGACGUUAUGGCCGUGGCCCCAACAAGUACCAGCGCAACUGGGAAGAUGAAGAGGCUUACACCCCCCGGUCAGGGUCAGGACGUGGUGGAGGAGCACGUGGUGGUCGCAGGACCAGAGGUGGAAGCCACAUUGGGAACCCCCCAUUCCAUGAUGAGGACUUCCCCGACCUGCACUCGAAGCCUUCGAACUCUGAAAAUACUGCCUCCGUGCAGCAGGACAGGGCAGAAGUGAAGCCGUCAGCCAGGCCUGCAGUGUUCAAAGGUUCCGACUCGACAGAAAGCAGCAGUUCUCAACAGGAGGAAUGGGACCACACAGUCAAAGGCUCCGGAAUGACCCACCGGGGUUGGGGCAAGCGUCCUUCUCAACCUCCUAGGAGAGUACCAGAUGCACUGCCAAGGCAGCAGGACUGCGAAGUCAAGGAGAAUGCAACUUUAGGGCAUCGUGUCAACAGGCCUGCACCACGGUCGCCAGUGAAGGCUGUUGAAGCACCUCAAAUUUCACUCUCUACUGGCAGAAGUCGAGCUAUGCGGCAUCUGCUGACCGAGCAUGAACGAAGCAAAAGGGAUUACGAGGCACUCGAGAAAUUUGCUGCUAAAGGAGAGCUUCAGGACGGUGAUAAAGCGGAUUUGAAGAGGAGUACAGCAGCUGCAGUGACACAAAGGGGAGGUCCAGUAGGUAGCACAGAAUCUGCAGCCAAACCAAGGCGCUACUCUUCAUUACGACAACGGCCCCUUGCAGAGGCUGCCCCCUACACCGAGACUGCUGUGGUUGCUCCCCAGCUGCCUAACACACAGGCCCCAUUGCCUACACCGAAUCAGCCACAGCCAGCUAUUUUGACUGCAGCACAUUUCCAAGCACCGUAUACACCGUAUCCUGAUGGCUACAUGCUUCCACCACCGGGCCAGCCACCUGCUGUGAUGCCUACACCGAAUCAGCCACCUCCUGUUAUGGCAGCGCCUUCCCCACUGACCAGCUCGUUCUUACCCCCACCAACGGGCAUCGUCAGCUUUCCUCCCCAGUACCCUCCACCUUACACCUUUCCAGCACAGUAUGCUGCACCUGCCCCAGCAGCUGCACCCCCAACGCAGACGCAAGCCCAGAAGCCACCAUACUACCAUGGGGACAUAAUCUACUACAACACGCAAAGCCAGCAGCAUAAGCAACGGCCCACCCCUCCUCGAAGGCCUAAAGCAGCUAUCCCUAUCGUGCCUCCUCCAGAUUCCCAAGGCACAGUGCAGUCGGGUGCACUGAUGGUAGGAGAAAGAUUUGUUUGACACUCAAGGCUAGUCCACCCUGGACAAGACAAACAACCAGAAAGAUUGUAAUCUUGGAUGCUGCAGGAGUGAACUAGCCUGAUCAAACUGCAGACAAGAGAAAGCUGCUGCUGAGAGAGAUUCUUUCCAUGAAUCAGUGGUAUUUAGACCGGAAGAAGGGAAGGAAGCAUCAGCAUCACAACCCAGUGCUGUGAAAAUGCUGCAGAGGGUCACUGCUGAACAUU
rnacentral:misc_RNA from 1 species